rnacentral:rRNA from 1 species
CCUACGGGAGGCAGCAGUGGGGAAUAUUGCACAAUGGGGGAAACCCUGAUGCAGCGACGCCGCGUGAGUGAAGAAGUAAUUCGUUAUGUAAAGCUCUAUCAGCAGGGAAGAAAAUGACGGUACCUGAGUAAGAAGCCCCGGCUAACUACGUGCCAGCAGCCGCGGUACUACGUAGGGGGCAAGCGUUAUCCGGAUUUACUGGGUGUAAAGGGAGCGUAUACGGCAGUGCAAGUCUGGAGUGAAAGGCGGGGGCUCAACCCCCGGACUGCCCUGGAAACUGUACGGCUGGAGUGCAGGAGAGGUAAGUGGAAUUCCUAGUGUAGCGGUGAAAUGCGUAGAUAUUAGGAGGAACACCAGUGGCGAAGGCGGCUUACUGGACUGUAACUGACGUUGAGGCUCGAAAGCGUGGGGAGCAAACAGGAUUAGAUACCCCUGUAGUC